AUUCCGGUUGAUCCUGCCGGAGGCCAUUGCUAUCGGAGUCCGAUUUAGCCAUGCUAGUCGUGCGAGUUCAGACUCGCGGCACCGAGCUCAGUAACACGUGGCCAAACUACCCUACAGAGACGGAUACCCUCGGGAAACUGAGGUUAACCCGUCAUACCGAUCUCAGGCUUGAAUCGCAGAGAUCACAAAACGCCCCGGCGCUGUAGGAUGUGGCUGCGGUUGAUUAGGUAGACGGUGGGGUAACGGCCCACCGUGCCCAUAAUCAGUACAGGUUGUGAGAGCAAGAACCUGGAGACGGAAUCUGAGACAAGAUUCCGGGCCCUACGGGGCGCAGCAGGCGCGAAACCUUUACACUGCACGCACGUGCGAUAAGGGGACUCCGAGUGCGAGGGCAUAUCGUCCUCGCUUUCGUGUACCGUAGGGUGGUACACCAACAAGGGCUGGGCAAGACCGGUGCCAGCCGCCGCGGUAAUACCGGCAGCCCGAGUGAUGGCCGAUCUUAUUGGGCCUAAAGCGUCCGUAGCUAAGGGC
rnacentral:rRNA from 1 species